rnacentral:lncRNA from 1 species
CACUCAGGAUAGAGGCUUCUGGGAGGUACAUUGACAGCAUGGCACCUGGCCCUGUACAGGGCUCCCAGAAUUAGACUGAGUAGAGGAGAGAUUCCGGGGCAGGGUGGCCUAGCCUUGCUAAGUUCUGUUUUUUCUGCAGCAUGAACGUACAGGGUGACUAUGAACCCAUUGAUGCCACCGGCUUCAUCAAUAUCAACUCGCUCAGGCUGAAGGAGUACCAUCGCCUUCAGAGCAAGGUCACCGCCAAAUAGACCGUGACAAAGAGGCGCGGGCCUCCCCGCUCUGCAGCUCUCCCAGGCUCCAGCAUUAAUUGUUGUGAUAAAUUUGUAAUUGUAGCUUGUUCUCCUACCACCUGACUGGGGCUGCUGUGCCCCCCCUCACCUCCCCCCCACCCACAGGCUUUGUUCCCUGGUCCCCUAUAGCCUACAAAAGUGGUCAUCGAAGGGAAGGGGGGGUGGCAGGCAGCUGCAGAAAGCGCGUAAAAUGACAAUUAAAAGAAGUUACAUUAGUCUUUC